GGUGGGUUGGCCCAGUGGUUAGAGAUUAGGUCUCGUAACCGAAAGGUCGCGGGAUCGAAUCCCGCUAGACGCUG
rnacentral:tRNA from 1 species